UACGUAGGGGGCGAGCGUUGUCCGGAGUUACUGGGCGUAAAGCGCACGCAGGCGGUCUGCUAAGUUUGGAGUGACAGUUGGUGGCUUAACUGCCAAAGUGCUUCGAAAACUGACAGACUUGAGGGCUUCAGAGGGACACGGAAUUCCGGGUGGAGGUGGUGAAAUGUGUAGAGAUCCGGAGGAACACCAAAGGCGAAGGCAG
rnacentral:rRNA from 1 species